AACGAACGCUGGCGGCAUGCCUAACACAUGCAAGUCGAACGAGACCUUCGGGUUUAGUUGCGCACGUGGGCGGAACACGUGGUAACCUGCCCUUAGGUUCGGAAUAACUCCCCGUAAGGUGUGCUAAUACCGGAGAAUGUCAUCGGACCAAAGAGCUAUCGCCUUUGGGUGGGGCCGCGUUGGAUUAGCUAGUUGGUAGUGGAAAAGCCUACCAAGGCGACGAUGCAUAGCUGGUCUGAGAGGAUGAUCCUGCAGAAUGGGAAUGAGACACGGCCCACUAUCGUACGGGAGGGAGCAGUGGGGUAUAUUAGACAAUGGGGGAAAGCCUGAUACAGCAGUGCGGCGUGAGAGAUGAAGCCGUUAGGGUUGUAAAGCUCUUUUAGACGAGAUGAUAAUGACAGUACCGGGAGAAUAAGCACCGGCUAACUACGUG
rnacentral:rRNA from 1 species